rnacentral:rRNA from 1 species
GAUGAGCGCUGGCGGCGUGCUUAACACAUGCAAGUCGAACGAUGAAGCCCACUUGUGGGUGGAUUAGUGGCGAACGGGUGAGUAACACGUGAGUAACCUGCCCUUGACUCUGGGAUAAGCCUGGGAAACUGGGUCUAAUACCGGAUAUGACCUUCCAUCGCAUGGUGGUUGGUGGAAAGCUUUUGUGGUUUUGGAUGGACUCGCGGCCUAUCAGCUUGUUGGUGGGGUAAUGGCCUACCAAGGCGACGACGGGUAGCCGGCCUGAGAGGGUGCCCGGCCACACUGGGCCUGAGACACGGCCCAGACUCCUACGGGAGGCAGCAGUGGGGAAUAUUGCACAAUGGGCGCAAGCCUGACGCAGCGACGCCGCGUGAGGGAUGACGGCCUUCGGGUUGUAAACCUCUUUCAGUAGGGAAGAAGCGUAAGUGACGGUACCUGCAGAAGAAGCGCCGGCUAACUACGUGCCAGCCGCCGCUGUAAGAC